UGAUAUCAUUUGGAAACAUCGUGUGGUUAAAGCCAAAAUCAAAGUGCAAUAGUUGUGUAAGCAUUUUCUACGUAGGGCAUACUUUUCCUCGUAGCAAUGGAAUAUAUAAAAUUGCUCUUCGAAUUGCUGACUGCACGUCCCUUGGCCUUCUUGUUGUUGUUGACCAUAAUAUCUUUGCCUUCCACAACGUUACUUGCUGUAUUGCUCUGGUUGCUUCAUUUGCUCUGCACAAUGCUGCCGAUGCUGUUCCGAUAUUCAACUCUGAUGAUACUCGUUACUUUACUUUUCAAUUUCCAUCUCCUAUUGUAUACAAAUUUAUCUCUUUAAUGUCCCUUGCUAUUUCAAUUCCCAUUUUAUUUUAUUUCUACAAAAUUGUUUGCAUUUCUUGCACUCUUGCGUCUAUGCUAUAAUGAUCUCAGAUUCAAUUCAAACCAUAAUAAUGUGUAUGAAAAGUCUAUGCUAUAAUGAUAUCAUAUUCAAACCGCAAUAAUAUAUACGAAAAAUCCAUGCUAUAAUGAUCUCAAAUUCAAACCACAAUAAUGUGUAUGAAAAAUCUCCUUCCUCUCUUCCUUAACAGGGUGAAAUUUUACCAAAAAAACCUCAUCCUUAGAGCAAGCCCAGCGCAGCCAACAAACCGGGCCAAAGGCAGCCCGAGAGAAGCCAGACCAGCUCCAGCGCAGAAGGAGAAGCCCGGGCAAGGUGCGGGUCCCACGAGCCCGGGCAGGCCCAAGGGCGAAAUCAGACUG
rnacentral:lncRNA from 1 species